AGUGUUGAACUUUCUGUUUUGUCUCUUGCCCGUCCGGUUUUAGUUCCUGAAAUUAAAGAAGUGGUGAGCCACAAGUACAAGACACCAAUGGCCCACGAGAUCUGCUACUCUGUGUUGUGUCUCUUCUCGUAUGUGGCUGCAGUUCGUAGCAGUGAGGAAGAUCUCAGAACCCCGCCCCGGCCUGUCUCUAGCUGAUGGAGAGGGGCCAAGCAGCUGCCCCAGCCCAGGGGACACCCUUGGCCUCUUGCUGUUCCCAAGUGCACGAUGCUGCUAUGACUGAGGAGCGGGCGAUGUGUGUAUUCUCCACAAGCCCCUUGCCAUGGCUUAGUCGGUUGCCAGUUAUGUGGCUCUCUGAGUGUGUCCUUGAGCGUGUCUGUCACAGGGCUAAGCUAGUCCCUUCCACCUCUCCCUCUCCACUCCCAGAAGACCAGACCACCUUCCCCUCAGGGCUCAAGAGUGUGCAUAUGUCUGUUGGGCCAGUGCGAGCCCACUUUUGUGUGCCCUUGAGACAUUUGUGUCGUGGUUCCUAGUCCUUGUCCUUGGCAGCGUAACCCUUUCGUGCAAGAGCCCGCGCUCCAUCCUCUGAGACCUGGCACGCCUGGGCACCUGCAGCAAGUCCACUCCAUGGGGAGCGAGGGGAACUUGGGGCCUGCCCUUCCAGACAAGGGGCGGGCAAGGAGGAAGGAGAGUCGGGGCAGCUGGAGGGAAUGGCAGCCUCCUCGCCUCCUUAUGCAUUCCCAAGCUGGCAGCUACUGCCCAGGGCCACGAGCUUUGCUGCCACCUGCCUUGGCCUCCGUCACCGCAGUGGGGCAGUGAUUUCUCCCCGGCCUACGAGCCUCUGGCAUGAGAGGACAGAGUGGUCGGGGUGGGUAGAGUUCCAAGGACCGCUGGCUGCUCUGCCCAAGGAUCAGGGAGGGGUGCGACAAGACUGGCUUAGCCUAUAUGUCUGUGUCUGCAGGCCGAACCUUCUGGCCCUGAGCAAGAGAUACUGUAAAUAGUUCAGCUCCGUGUUAUUUAUAGAAAAUGUACAGCUGUGUGAAUGUGAAAUAAAUGUCCUUGACUCCCCUUC